rnacentral:rRNA from 1 species
UACAGAGGUCCCAAGCGUUGUUCGGAUUUACUGGGCGUAAAGGGUGCGUAGGUGGUUGGAUAAGUUUGAUGUGAAAUCUUCGGGCUUAACCCGGAAAAUGCAUUGAAUACUAUCCAGCUUGAGAGUUGGAGGGGGGACUGGAAUUCUCGGUGUAGCAGUGAAAUGCGUAGAUAUCGAGAGGAACACCAGUGGCGAAGGCGAGUCCCUGGACAACUUCUGACACUGAGGCACGAAAGCCAGGGGAGCAAACGGG